GGAAUUUACAGCCAAUUAUAAGCAGGCAUUAUUAAUAUUUGUGUUUUGGGGUCAGACCAGAGUUUGGUAGGUUUGUACCCAUCUGUAAGCCAGAAUCCCUGAAUCUCCUUCAUACACAACUGCGUGGUCUUGUGGAGGCGAGACGUCCGGGGGGAACGAACGGUAACUCCAAGAGCCUGUGUGGGGGUGUCUGUGCAAGGAGGAGCUUGGAAAGUGCUAGAAGUUGUGUGCAGCCUCUUGGGAAGCCCUCCCUCUGAAGAGUUGUGUUGCUGUGGGAAGGAAGCAGCGUGUUGGAAGAGGGCCUUAACGCAGCCGCCUUUCCCAAGAGUUCGGGGAGUCAUUCUGAUGAGCCAUCAGCAGGAACUGAGAAAGCCUGCAGAUAAAUGGAAAUGGAGAGGAGGGCUGUCGAGGAAACGUGUGGUUAACUUUGGAAUUGAAGAGUGCAGAUGUCAACAAAGCAGCUGAUGGAGGAUGGGAGAACCCUGGUAACCGUCAGGCACCACACUCGCGGCUUGGCCUGUAGGAGAUGCAGCACUUCCCUCUACUGGAAGGAGGACCUAACAACAAGGGGUCUUCGACGGGCCCCCCAGAUUGCGCAGCCACAGUACUUCAGAAAGUACUUGAUAUCAAUAUGUGGGCUCUGGAGAGUUAAUAAAAGACUAUAUCAGGCUGCAUUUGCUUUCAAGGACAGAGACCCUGGCAUAUCCCUUUAGUACCUAGCAUGUGGUGUAUAAUAAAUGCUCAAUAAAUGUAUGUUGUAAAGGCA
rnacentral:lncRNA from 1 species